rfam:Talaromyces stipitatus ATCC 10500 scf_1105507295549 genomic scaffold, whole genome shotgun sequence.
GGGCUGAUGGUCUAGUGGUACGAUACUCCCUUAGGGUGGGAGUGGUCCUGGGUUCGAUUCCCAGUUAGCCCC